ensembl:lncRNA
GGCCACAGGGCAUUGGUGAUGAAGGGUCUGUGAGGGGUCCCCAGAGGUUAUCUGAUGUAUAAUCAGUCAUAAAAUCUGCCACACAUUGCUGAGGGAAAACGCAUUCAGGGACGUGAUCUUGUGGCUGGUGGUAUACCCAUGGAUCAGAGCGUCCCCAGAGACCAAGCCUCUGCCCCCAGGAGGAAGCGCCGGUCUCUCCGUGUCCAGACUCGGGAUUCUUCCUCUGACCCGGAGUGAAACCAACGGUGGUCACUUCAAGUACACACGAUCACAACAUCAACAGGAAACACAGCGCAGGAUAUGGGGCAUCAGACUUGUUCUUUAGAUUUAGUGUUGUUUUUGAUAUAAUGUGAUUAUUCUCACAAAUUAUUCAAUAUUAAAUUUGAUGAUGCAUAAAAGUGAAUGUAAUGGGGAACAUGUUUUCAAAUGUUGACAGUGAACGGAAUACGCUUUCUACCCCAUGUGUUUUCAAUUUCAAUGUAUUGCAAUAAAAUCGUAU